rnacentral:rRNA from 1 species
AUUGAACGCUGGCGGAAUGCUUUACACAUGCCAGUCGAACGGCAGCACGGGGGCAGCCCUGGUGGCGAGUGGCGAACGGGUGAGUAAUCCAUGGGAAGGGGCCGGGCCGUGGGGGAAAACGUGCGGAAGGUAAGGCUAAUACGCCAAAGGACCUGAGGAUGAAGGGGGGGAACUUUCGGGCUCCGGGCGUCGGGACCGCCGAUGGCAGAUUAGGUAGUUGGUGGGGUAAAGGCCUACCAAGCCGACGAUCUGUAGCUGGUCUGAGAGGACGACCAGCCACACUGGGACUGAGACACGGCCCAGACUCCUACGGGAGGCAGCAGUGGGGAAUUUUGGACAAUGGGCGCAAGCCUGAUCCAGCCAUUCCGCGUGCAGGACGAAGGCCUUCGGGUUGUAAACUGCUUUUGUACGGAACGAAAAGGCUCUGGCUAAUACCUGGGGCUCAUGACGGUACCGUAAGAAUAAGCACCGGCUAACUACGUG